UCCUCUACUGGAGGCGUAAAGUUUGUUCCCAGGAGCGAAGAAGGCGCGGCGCGCAGGUACCCAGAGACCCCGCCCUACCCAUGGUGAGGCAGUGGAAUCUCCGCGGGUCCGCCACGUUGUAGGUAGUGGCGGCGCAGACAGGUUUGCUGGUGCAGCCAUCACAGAAACUGAGCCUCAACCCAGCUUGCCUGGUCCAGCCAGCCCUCACCCGCGUCAGGAAAAUCCAAGCAAUCCUCAAAAUCACUCCAGCCCCAGGAAGAAGACGGGGAGCACCACUACUACGAGAGCCUUAAUGACAGUGUGUUUUUUACAGGCCUAAAAUUUCCAAAUAGAUGACACGAUAUCCCCAUUCACUUUGCAAGUAUUAUAUGCUUACUUUAAAUAAUAUAUUAUAAAAUAUUGUAAAUAUAAAU